rnacentral:ncRNA from 1 species
CAACCUCAACUCAUAUGGGACUACCCCCUGAAUUUAAGCAUAUUAAUUAGGGGAGGAAAAGAAACUAACAAGGAUUUUCUUAGUAGCGGCGAGCGAAAAGAAAUCAGUUCAGCACUAAGUCACUUUGUCUAUAUGGCAAAUGUGAGAUGCAGUGUACGGAACAUCAACAUUCUAGUAUGAGAAGUUAACGAUUUAAGUCCUUCUUAAAUGAGGCCAUUUACCCAUAGAGGGUGCCAGGCCCGUAUAACGUUAAUGAUUACUAGAUGGUGUUUCCAAAGAGUCGUGUUGCUUGAUAGUGCAGCACUAAGUGGGUGGUAAACUCCAUCUAAAACUAAAUAUAACCAUGAGACCGAUAGUAAACAAGUACCGUGAGGGAAAGUUGAAAAGAACUCUGAAUAGAGAGUUAAAUAGUACGUGAAACUGCUUAGAGGUUAAGCCCGAUGAACCUGAAUAUCCGUUAUGGAAAAUUCAUCAUUAGAAUUGUAAUAUUUUAAACAAUAUUAUAAUAAUAGUGUGCAUUUUUUCCAUAUAAGGACAUUGUAAUCUAUUAGCAUAAAUAUUUAUCAUAAAAUUAUGUCUGAUUGCUUAUUUGAAUUAUAUGCUUGGCAUUUUAACAUAAAAUAAAAGAUAUAAA